rnacentral:rRNA from 1 species
GUAGGGAAUCUUCCGCAAUGGACGAAAGUCUGACGGAGCAACGCCGCGUGAGUGAAGAAGGUUUUCGGAUCGUAAAACUCUGUUGUUAGAGAAGAACAUGUCUGAGAGUAACUGUUCAGGCAAUGACGGUAUCUAACCAGAAAGCCACGGCUAACUACGUGCCAGCAGCCGCGGUAAUACGUAGGUGGCAAGCGUUGUCCGGAUUUAUUGGGCGUAAAGCGAGCGCAGGCGGUUUCUUAAGUCUGAUGUGAAAGCCCACGGCUUAACCGUGGAGGGUCAUUGGAAACUGGGAAACUUGAGUGCAGAAGAGGAGAGUGGAAUUCCAUGUGUAGCGGUGAAAUGCGUAGAUAUAUGGAGGAACACCAGUGGCGAAGGCGACUCUCUGGUCUGUAACUGACGCUGAGGCUCGAAAGCGUGGGUAGCAAACAGGAUUAGAAACCCUUGUAGUCC